ACGCUGGCGGCGUGCCUAACACAUGCAAGUCGAGCGAGAAAGCCCGCAAGGGUGAGUAAAGCGGCGCACGGGUGCGUAACACGUGGGUAAUCUGCCCUAGAGUCCGGAAUAACUCGCCGAAAGGCGUGCUAAUGCCGGAUGAGACCACGGGAGCCUCGGCUCCUGGGGGAAAAGGUGGCCUCUGUAUACAAGCUAUCGCUCUAGGAUGAGCCCGCGGCCCAUCAGCUCGUUGGCGGGGUAAUGGCCCACCAAGGCUACGACGGGUAGCUGGUCUGAGAGGACGAUCAGCCACACUGGAACUGAGACACGGUCCAGACUCCUACGGGAGGCAGCAGUGGGGAAUCUUGCGCAAUGGGCGAAAGCCUGACGCAGCAACGCCGCGUGUGUGAUGAAGGUCUUCGGAUCGUAAAGCACUGUCGCGAGGGACGAAUAAGGGGCGGGCUAACAUCCCGUUCCGAUGACGGUACCUCGAGAGGAAGCACCGGCUAACUCUGUGCCAGCAGCCGCGGUAAUACAGAGGGUGCAAGCGUUGUUCGGAAUUAUUGGGCGUAAAGCGCGUGUAGGCGGCCUUGCAAGUUGGGUGUGAAAGCCCUCGGCUUAACCGAGGAAGUGCGCCCAAAACUACGAGGCUUGAGUGCCGGAGAGGGUGGCGGAAUUCCCGGUGUAGAGGUGAAAUUCGUAGAUAUCGGGAGGAACACCAGUGGCGAAGGCGGCCACCUGGACGGUAACUGACGCUGAGACGCGAAAGCGUGGGGAGCAAACAGGAUUAGAUACCCUGGUAGUCCACGCUGUAAACGAUGAGCGCUAGGUGUUGUGGGUGUUGACCCCCGCAGUGCCGCAGCUAACGCAUUAAGCGCUCCGCCUGGGA
rnacentral:rRNA from 1 species